AGGUCAUGACAACGACUUCACAACAACAGCGGUUAUCCUCAAAUUCUCAAUGAAAGUACUGAAUGUUGGUGGUAAAUAUCUAUCAAGAGGGGAUUGUGAGAGUAACGUGCUAUCCAUUGAAUCGUUCGGCAGAGAUGUUACUGAAAACGGAUUACACUUCAAGACGUUCAAAAUAGAUGUACCUUCUUUUAAAGAAAAAUAUUGUUUAUUUGAAGUGUGGCGUCCAGAGCAGAAUGGAUUCUGAUAGGAAUUAGCUUUAUGAGAUUUUGCACUAAAAAAAUAAAUACAUUUAACCACUAGAAAACACUUUUGCACUAUAAAUGGGGGUUGUACUGAAAGGCCCAUUAUGUCCAAGAAAAUACUAUUUUCAUUUCUCAAAAGCUUUUUAUUUUAUAAUUUUGAAGUUUCCCAAAAGUUACUUAUUAGGCGAUUACGUGAA